rnacentral:rRNA from 1 species
AGUGAACGCUGGCGGUAGGCCUAACACAUGCAAGUCGAACGGCAGCACAGUAAGAGCUUGCUCUUACGGGUGGCGAGUGGCGGACGGGUGAGGAAUACAUCGGAAUCUACUUUUUCGUGGGGGAUAACGUAGGGAAACUUACGCUAAUACCGCAUACGACCUACGGGUGAAAGUAGUGGAUCUUUGGACCUUGUGCGAUUGAAUGAGCCGAUGUCGGAUUAGCUAGUUGGCGGGGUAAAGGCCCACCAAGGCGACGAUCCGUAGCUGGUCUGAGAGGAUGAUCAGCCACACUGGAACUGAGACACGGUCCAGACUCCUACGGGAGGCAGCAGUGGGGAAUAUUGGACAAUGGGAGCAAGCCUGAUCCAGCCAUACCGAGUGGGUGAAAAAGGCCUUCGGGUUGUAAAGCCCUUUUGUUGGGAAAGAAAAGCAGCAGGUUAAUACCCCGCUGUUCUGACGGUACCCAAAGAAUAAGCACCGGCUAACUUCGUG